CGAGCGAACAGAAAAGGAGCUUGCUCCUNUGACGUUAGCGGCGGACGGGUGAGUAACACGUGGGCAACCUACCUUAUAGUUUGGGAUAACUCCGGGAAACCGGGGCUAAUACCGAAUAAUCUAUUUCACUUCAUGGUGAAAUACUGAAAGACGGCAUCUCGCUGUCGCUAUAAGAUGGGCCCGCGGCGCAUUANCUAGUUGGUGAGGUAACGGCUCACCAAGGCGACGAUGCGUAGCCGACCUGAGAGGGUGAUCGGCCACACUGGGACUGAGACACGGCCCAGACUCCUACGGGAGGCAGCAGUAGGGAAUCUUCCACAAUGGGCGAAAGCCUGAUGGAGCAACGCCGCGUGAGUGAANAANGUUUUCGGAUCGUAAAACUCUGUUGUAAGGGAAGAACAAGUACAGUANUAACUGGCUGUACCUUGACGGUACCUUAUUAGAAAGCCACGGCUAACUACGUGCCANCAGCCGCGGUAAUACGUAGGUGGCAAGCGUUGUCCGGAAUUAUUGGGCGUAAAGCGCGCGCAGGCGGUCCUUUAAGUCUGAUGUGAAAGCCCACGGCUCAACCGUGGAGGGUCAUUGGAAACUGGGGGACUUGAGUGCAGAAGAGGAAA
rnacentral:rRNA from 1 species